rnacentral:lncRNA from 1 species
UCCUACUCCAAUGUGUGAGAAAAAGUGCGUUAAGGGAAACCAGCUCUGGAGUCAGUCCAAGCACUAUAGUGUCGGGGCAUAUAGAAUCAACUCAGAUCCAACUGAUAUCAUGGCUGAAGUUUAUAAGAAUGGACCUGUUGAGGUCGCCUUCACCGUUUAUGAGGUAAAGAAAGCAUAUGUAUUUUUCUAGUUAAAUUUGCUGCUUUGCUUUUCUUCGUGAGCAAUUUCAAUGUGGUCAGCUUGGCUUUGAAACUAGUACUAUGAGACCCCUAGGGGCAAAGCUGGCAUGUUUUUGGCCCUUAACUAUCAGAUUAGUUGUUUGGUUUGGUUUUCCUUGAUAACUGCUGCUUAUUGCAUAUUACUUGGCUCUUCAAACCCAAAAUGCAUGAAAAUAAGCAUAAAGAAGAGAGAUGUGGUGGUUGAUUUCCUUAUUUAUUUUCAUGAUUCUCCAGGAUUUUGCUCACUACAAAUCUGGAGUUUACAAGCAUGUGACAGGCAGUGUUAUGGGAGGUCAUGCAGUUAAGCUUAUCGGGUGGGGAACUUCUGAUGAUGGGGAGGAUUACUGGGUAUGUUUGACUGAUUUUAUAUUUGGGAAAAUUAUCUAGGAAUCAUGUAAUUUUUUAUUGAGUUAAAUAUUUUAAUAUUCUAAUUUUCUCCCUAUUGCAGCUCCUUGCAAACCAGUGGAAUAAAGGCUGGGGUGAAGUAUGUUUUUACAUGAAACUUUUUCUUCAUAUUCAUUUAGGAACAAAAAGAAAAAUGUGUUUAGGAUGCUUAUAUAUUGAUUAUCAUAUUUUCGAAUUACAGGAUGGUUACUUCAAGAUCAGAAGGGGCACAAAUGAGUGUGGAAUCGAAGAUGAUGUGGUAGCUGGUUUACCUUCAACCAAAAAUCUUGUGAGAGAGGUAGCUGACAUGGACAUUCUUAAAGCUGCUUCAUUUUGAGAGUAAUUCAUCUAGU